UUGGAAAUGAAGAGGCGAUUGUGGCCUGUAAAAUGCUUGGGUUUAACAGCUCUCAAGUGGUUGUAGUGAAGUCAAAUUUUUAUGAGAAAGGCUCGGGUAGCAUUCUGCUUGACAACGUAGACUGCCAGGGGAAUGAGUCCAGACUAGAGCAAUGUGAACAUUCCACAUAUUACAACACCAGAUGCCAGCAUGAUAACGACGUUGGUAUCAUAUGCUUAAUAAAAUUCUGGCAUCAGUUCUAGUACCACAGCAAUUAGAUCGAGAAGACGUCUACACGAACACACUGGGGCUUUCGACAACGAAGACACCGUAGUGAGGCACACAAAGACAACCCAAAACACGAUGAGAAAGACACUCAUGAUGGAGCAGUAAUUGUUAUUUGCCAUAAUUGUUUUCCCUUUAGAGUUCUUUUGAAUGUAGCUUUGUAUUUAACCCUGUUCAUCUGUGUGGUUGUAGAGUUAGAAAACGCCUUCAGAUAUACCACGAAACAAUGUCCUUUCUUGCCUUUUGACUAUAAUCCUUGUAACAAGGAAAAUUUGUAGACUUUCAUAUAAUCAUACAAAGGCAACUUAACGGUAGAACGUUAACUACACCAUGUUAGCAUUAGCUUGAUAUUAUAAUGAUAUAUGACAUAGAAAUACAGGGGUCAAAGGUUGACAAAUGUACUCCAAACUUUCAACCUACAAUACAACAACAGUCAUACUAUGGAUAUGAUUGGAUCCCUAGUGGCCACCAAAAUGUUCUUCUGGCAGCAAUACAACAGUGAACGAUUGAUUUGACAAUGUGAUGCGUCUGAACACUUUAAGGCCGUCUUUUAGUGUACUCUGGAGGUUGAUAUUGCAAUUGAUACAGAAAUAAAAUGUUGUUUGUAU